GAUGAACGCUAGCGGCAGGCUUAAUACAUGCAAGUCGAGGGGCAGCACGGGGGCGAACCCUGGUGGCGACCGGCAAACGGGUGCGGAACACGUACGCAACCUUCCCAUAACUGGUGAAUAGCCUUUCGAAAGAGAGAUUAAUACACCGUAACAUAACGAAGAGGCAUCUCUUUGUUAUUAUAGGCAGCAAUGUCGGUUUGGUAUGGGCGUGCGCCUGAUUAGGUAGUUGGCGGGGUAACGGCCCACCAAGCCUGCGAUCAGUAACUGGUGUGAGAGCACGACCAGUCACACGGGCACUGAGACACGGGCCCGACUCCUACGGGAGGCAGCAGUGGGAAUAUUGCGCAAUGGGCGGAAGCCUGACGCAGCGACGCCG
rnacentral:rRNA from 1 species